rnacentral:rRNA from 1 species
UAGUGGCCUUCCGGAAUCAGUCGUAACGACGCGCGUUAACGUGAUUAGUAUGAGCGCAAGCCUUACUAUGUCGCGUUAGGAAAUAGUAGCGUUCGUUUGAUGCAUUUCCGGAGGGUAUGCGCCGCGACCGAUGCGAAAGGCUAGCGAAACUGGCGAAUUGAGGACGAGGUACGUGGUAACACACGUUCAUUCGGAACCAGUUCGUCGGAUCUAAGUCGUUAGACCGCAGUAUGCAUCGAGCGCAGAAAUUAUAAUUAACGUCGGCGUAAAAUGCUCGCGCCAUCGAUUGAAAGUUGUCGGUUUAGUCGGCGCCUGCUCGCAGGUAACGGUUAUUACUCGGCUUCGUUCAGAUAUCGAGAGCGAGUUCGACGUUAAGGCGUCCGCGGCGUCCGAGACGGUCACCCGUCCGACCCGUCUUGAAACACGGACCAAGGAGUCUAACGUACGC